rnacentral:pre_miRNA from 1 species
UGGACAGAUUAUUGUAUUCGAUUGUAUUCACGGCUUGAAACAGGGGAUUACACUGUUUUUAAACGGAAAGUGAAUCAAUUAACAUAAUAGACUCCU